UACGGGGGGGGCAAGCGUUGUUCGGAAUUACUGGGCGUAAAGGGCUCGUAGGUGGCCAACUAAGUCAGACGUGAAAUCCCUCGGCUUAACCGGGGAACUGCGUCUGAUACUGGAUGGCUUGAGUUUGGGAGAGGGAUGCGGAAUUCCAGGUGUAGCGGUGAAAUGCGUAGAUAUCUGGAGGGACACCGGUGGCGAAGGCGGCAUCCUGGACCAACACUGACACUGAGGAGCGAAAGCGUGGGGAGCGAACAGG
rnacentral:rRNA from 1 species